UAAGAUUGUAGUAUCGCAUGAUAUAGCAAUUAAAGGAGCAAUUCGCUAUAAGAUGGACCCGCGUCGCAUUAGCUAGUUGGUGAGGUAAUGGCUCACCAAGGCGACGAUGCGUAGCCGACCUGAGAGGGUGAUCGGCCACCAUUGGGACUGAGACACGGCCCAGACUCCUACGGGAGGCAGCAUG
rnacentral:rRNA from 1 species